rnacentral:rRNA from 1 species
UACGAAGGGGGCUAGCGUUGCUCGGAAUCACUGGGCGUAAAGGGUGCGUAGGCGGGUUUUUAAGUCAGAGGUGAAAUCCUGGAGCUCAACUCCAGAACUGCCUUUGAUACUGGGGAUCUCGAGUCCGGGAGAGGUGAGUGGAACUCCGAGUGUAGAGGUGAAAUUCGUAGAUAUUCGGAAGAACACCAGUGGCGAAGGCGGCUCACUGGCCCGGUACUGACGCUGAGGUGCGAAAGCGUGGGGAGCAAACAGG